CACAGUCCCGACGCACUCCCCCCGGCGCCGGGACUCUUCCCGAGCCGAGCUUCGGCGCCACCCCCCCCGGCGCCGAAGCUCGACUCUCCC
rnacentral:ncRNA from 1 species